rnacentral:rRNA from 1 species
GACGGAGGUUGCGAGCGUUAAUCGGAAUUACUGGGCGUAAAGCGCAUGUAGGCGGCCGAACAAGUCAGGUGUGAAAUCCUCGGGCUUAACCUGGGAAGUGCACUUGAUACUGUCCGGCUAGAGUUUGGCAGAGGAAAGUAGAAUUCCCAGUGUAGCGGUGAAAUGCGUAGAUAUCGGGAGGAAUUCAAGUGGCGAAGGCGGCUUUCUAGGCCAAUACUGACGCUGAGGUGCGAAAGCGUGGGGAGCAAACAGG